GGAGCGAAAUCAUCAAAAUAACUCUUUGGUCAGAUAUUGCAAAUAGUUUUGAUAUGAAGAUUGUUGAUGAGUUAGCAUCACACACCUUUGCAAUAGUUACAAUUAUGUGGGUGAAGAUGUAUAAAGGAAAGCUUACACCAACUAGAACUAAUCAACAUGAUCUUUAGCCCAGAGACACCUUAGCAUGCCCCGACUAUGAAGCAGAAUUAAACAAACUAGGAGAUUGAGCCAAGAUUAAUGGGUUACAUGGUGGUGAAAUAAGAGAUGAUACAUGAAAGUCAAUUAUGGAUCUGCGUACCUUGCAUCAAGCUGAAUA